rnacentral:rRNA from 1 species
AGAGUUUGAUUCUGGCUCAGAACGAACGCUGGCGGCGUGUUUAAGACAUGCAAGUUGAACGGGGAAUCUUUGGAGCUUGCUUUGAGGAUUCCUAGUGGCGCACGGGUGAGUAACACGUGAGUAACAUGCCCUGUAGAGGGGAAUAGCCCACCGAAAGGUGGAUUAAUACCCCAUAGUCCCGCAAGGGUAAAGGUGGCUUCGGCUGCCGCUACAGGAUUGGCUCGCGUCCUAUCAGUUUGUUGGUGAGGUAACGGCUCACCAAGACUACGACGGGUAGCUGGUCUGAGAGGACGAUCAGUCACACUGGAACUGAGACACGGUCCAGACACCUACGGGUGGCAGCAGUCGAGAAUAAUUCACAAUGGACGAAAGUCUGAUGGUGCAACGCCGCGUGGAGGAUGACGGUCUUAGGAUUGUAAACUCCUGUCAUCCGGGAGAAAGACCUGGGAGUUAAUAGCUCACAGGGUUGAUAGUACCGGAAGAGGAAGGGACGGCUAACUUCGUGCCAGCAGCCGCGGUAAUACGAAGGUCCCAAGCGUUGUUCGGAAUCACUGGGCGUAAAGGGAGCGUAGGCGGCGCGGUAAGUCGGAUGUGAAAUCCCGAGGCUCAACCUCGGAACUGCAUCUGAUACUGCCGUGCUAGAGUAAUGGAGGGGUAGCUGGAAUUCUCGGUGUAGCAGUGAAAUGCGUAGAUAUCGAGAGGAACACUCGUGGCGAAAGCGAGCUACUGGACAUUUACUGACGCUGAGGCUCGAAGGCUAGGGGAGCGAAAGGGAUUAGAUACCCCUGUAGUCCUAGCAGUAAACGGUGCACGCUUGGUGUGAGGGGUUUCGACCCCCCUUGUGCCGGAGCUAACGCGUUAAGCGCACCGCCUGGGAAGUACGGUCGCAAGACUAAAACUCAAAGAAAUUGACGGGGACCC